AUUGAACGCUGGCGGCAUGCUUUACACAUGCAAGUCGGACGAGUGGCGAACGGGUGAGUAACAUAUCGGAACGUACCGAGUAGUGGGGGAUAACUAAUCGAAAGAUUAGCUACUACCGCAUAUUUUUCGAUCGGCCGACAUUGGCUUAGCUGGUUGGUGGGGUAAAGGACUACCAAGGCGACGAUCAGUAGCGGGUCUGAGAGGAUGAUCAGUCACACUGGGACUGAGACACGGUCCAGACUCCUACGGGAGGCAGCAGUGGGGAAUUUUGGACAAUGGGCGCAAGCCUGAUCCAGCCAUGCCGCGUGUGUGAAGAAGGUCUUCGGGUUGUAAAGGACUUUUGGUUGGGAGGCGGUACCUGAAGAAUAAGCACCGGCUAACUUCGUGCCAGCAGCCGCGGUAAUAC
rnacentral:rRNA from 1 species